AGGGGUCAGGGUGAGAAAAAGUCCUAUAAAAGGAGAGAGAAGAGACGAUAGAAAUCAGUCGAGUGAGCAUCUCCGACACGGCAAAAACAGCAGCGCUUUAUUUGUCACCAACUGCCUUCUUCAUCGUAUUAAAAAAGUUCUCAGUCAUGGACCCAUUCCAAUCCCCGGCAACGUCAACCUGUAGAAGGAAAGGACAGUACGCAUGGCCUUUACACUCCAAGGUCACGGAGAUCAUUACGUAAAUCAGGUUAGGUGAGAACGGGACGUGUUUCAUCAUUAUGAAGCGGGUAAAAUAGCUGUAAGUCAACGUGCCGAAGGAAAGACCAGUUUGAAUGGCCUUCACGCUCGAAGGUCACGGAGAUGAAUACGUAAAUGCAAUGGUGUAGAGGUUGGGCGAGAACGGGACGUGCUGCAUCAUUGUCAGGCAGUGAACUAUAUCGUCGUGCUGCUGUUGGGUGCUGUAUCGUUGAUGGCUGGGUCGACCACUAGUGUACCGAUGUCUCCUGGGUAUGGUGGAUAGCAAACUGCAACGCCGCCACCUUUCCACACAAUAUUAACACACGCAACAGCCGGUUCCUGCACUAGUACCGAGUCUUCAGAAUAUUACAUCUAAAACUUAUGAAGACCCGAGCUAUUACACCGAAUCCCGAAGUACAAGUCUGUCCUGAGCUACAUUACCAAAUAACUGGAGUACUUCACCGAAGCGCCCAAAUACUAUUUUACUGCCUAUGCUGCCACGAGCUACUCUACCGACGCCCCGCUCUGCCCCGAGCUACACCACCAAGGCAGCGUUGGUGUUGAGAGUUUGUCCACCAGGUCGGAGAGCGCCUGGUGUUGGCAACAUUGCACGCGACACGCGUUUCAUCAUUCAUGCCACUGACGCCAUUUCUAUUUUGGAUGCUGUCAGUUCCGUUCGUGAUUAAUGCCGUAAACUUCAACAUUCUUCUUCACAAAUAUCUUAAAGAAUUAUUGACUUGGCGCAGUUGAGCUUCUUCGAGAAAGUACAAUGUCCAUUGGAUUUGCUGCAGCCAGCUGUUGAAUGAAGACCAUGCGCAGGUGUGAUGAGCUGCUGCGUGGCGCUGGUCUGGGGAAGUGCUGCAUGCUGUCUGUUGUGCUGGUUUGAAUAACACCACAAAGAGUUUGAACCUUUUGUUUUACAAUUUAAAGCUUAAGUUUUCAUAGUCAGUUAGAUUUUGAGUUUAUUAUGGUUUCGCUAUUUGGUGUGCAGUGCAUGUUUAGGUGGUUUUUGUUGCAGCCAGCUGUUAAAAGGAAUUCAAGUCAAAUUGAGCUGCAGGUUCUGGAAGUAGUCUACAUUGCUGGUGUCAUCCUGAAAUGCAACAGUAACAAAGGCAUCAUGUAAUGGAUUUGGUGAUAGCGUGAUGCAUCUGCCUUGGUGACAAUGAUGUAUCAUCUUGCUGCAUGCAGCCAUGUCGAAGCUAGACUCUAAGUAAACCUGCAAAAAUAUUCAUAGAAAUGAAUGGUGAAAAUGUUCAGCGGUUUCGUGUCAAAUGGCAGUGUCAGUGGUUUCUGUUCAAGUUUUUAUCCUGGAUUGCGCUGGUGUCCUUGCAGUAACUAAUGCUGGUGUCUUUGCCGUAACUAAUGCUGGUGCCCUUGCAGUAACUGAUGCUGGUGUCAUCCUGAUGUUGCUGUGCCAGUGAAAUUCAUGUUGAUAGAAAUAUUUUUAUCUGUGUUUGUGUUUCAUUCUGUGUACAUUGAAGAAACUGAUGUGUUUUUACUCUCUGAUAUGAUAUGUUGCAACAAAAGUUAAAUGUGGUCAUCCCAUAUGAUGAAAUUACCUCAACCCUAAUUAGGUGAGUUAGUUAUUAAUUGUAUAACAAAGUCAAACCUGUAAUUUUUUGUUAUUCUUGUAAAUUUUUAUUUGAAACUUUUUUCUACAGUGUUUAAUGUUGCAUUAAAUAAAAAA
rnacentral:lncRNA from 1 species